GAGGAUGUAGCUCAGUUGGUAGAGUGCUUGCCUUGCAUGCACAAAGCCCUGGGUUCAAUUCCCAGCACUGUCC
rnacentral:tRNA from 1 species